rnacentral:rRNA from 1 species
GACGAACGCUGGCGGCGUGCUUAACACAUGCAAGUCGAACGGUGAACUCCGCUUGCGGGGGGAUCAGUGGCGAACGGGUGAGUAACACGUGGGCAACCUGCCCUCAGCUCUGGGAUAACUCCAAGAAAUUGGGGCUAAUACCGGAUAUGACCGCUGACCGCAUGGUCUGGUGGUGGAAAGAUUUAUCGGCUGGGGAUGGGCCCGCGGCCUAUCAGCUUGUUGGUGGGGUAGUGGCCUACCAAGGCGACGACGGGUAGCCGGCCUGAGAGGGUGACCGGCCACACUGGGACUGAGACACGGCCCAGACUCCUACGGGAGGCAGCAGUGGGGAAUAUUGCGCAAUGGGCGAAAGCCUGACGCAGCGACGCCGCGUGGGGGAUGACGGCCUUCGGGUUGUAAACCUCUUUCAGCAGGGACGAAGCGAAAGUGACGGUACCUGCAGGAGAAGCACCGGCCAACUACGUG